UAUUGCAUUUUAAUACAUUGCAUAAAUAUAUAAAUAUAUUGAUUUCUACAGUAGUGUUCAAUAGAAAAGUUUUCCUGCACUCUUCUCUUAUUUGGAAGAUUAGUAUUUCACUUCAGACAAACAGGAAGUAACAUGUUAAAUGUUAAAUUCCCCAUCAUCCACAGACGAACCUGAAUGACAAGAUAUCUGUAAAAAGCUAAAUGUUUAAAACACGGGUCAUACAAGGAAAUUUUGGUGUGGAGGUGUGGAUUUCACUAAUGCUUUACAUUAAAAACACCCAAACUACAAUGUGCACACUCAGCUGGACUAAGAUGAAGGUCUCAGGUGCUCACGUCUGGCUUCUCUUAUUGUUCCUGUUCCAAAGUGACAGAAACCAGGUUUCAGGCCAGUGUUCAGUACCCACAGCACUCUGCUGUCCUGGAGUGAAUAGCCAAUGCAACCGUGGUGGGUGUUUUUGUGAUGAGUUCUGCGUCACAAGCGGGGACUGCUGUGCUGACUACAAUCAGAUAUGCAUUCAGCGUAAGACUGAACUAACUAAUUAACUAAAUUAAUUAAUAAUAAACAAAUUACAAUCCAGCAUCUGUUUAUUCUUUUGAGACAAACCAAAAUUAAAACAUUCCUGAAUAUAAAUAAAUAUUAUUUCUGUUUUUCAUAUUUAUUUCAUAUUCUUCAUUAACUACCUUAGCACAUUCGCCACCAUCCUUUAUAUCACCUUCAUCAACCACACUAUCAUAUUCACCGUUCUCAUCAACAUCCUUAUCAACCUCAAUAUCACCAACCUCACAACCUUUAUCUUCCUCAACAUCAGCCUCACCACCAUCUUCAUCCUCCCUACCUACAACCAACCAAUCACCAACAUCAUCACCAAUCUCACCACCAACUUCAUCCUCCUCACCUACAACCAACCAAUCACCAACAUCAUCACCAACCUCACAAACAUCUUCAUCAGUCUCACCAACAACCAACCAAUCAUCAUCACCACCACCAACCUCUGCAUCUUCAUCAACAUCCCAGCAGAGAA